rnacentral:tRNA from 1 species
AAGGUCUGUAUAAUCUUAAAAUACAUCUUCUGACUGCAACUCAGGCGCUUUAAUUAAGCUAACACCUCG